rnacentral:rRNA from 1 species
CGCGGCCUAUCAGCUUGUUGGUGGGGUAAUGGCCUACCAAGGCGUCGACGGGUAGCUGGUCUGAGAGGAUGAUCAGCCACACUGGGACUGAGACACGGCCCAGACUCCUACGGGAGGCAGCAGUAGGGAAUCUUGCGCAAUGGGCGAAAGCCUGACGCAGCAACGCCGCGUGAGGGAUGAAGGCUCUCGGGUUGUAAACCUCUUUCAGUAGGAACGAAAUUGACGGUACCUACAGAAGAAGCACCGGCCAACUACGUGCCAGCAGCCGCGGUAAUACGUAGGGUGCAAGCGUUGUCCGGAUUCAUUGGGCGUAAGGAGCUCGUAGGCGGCUUAGUAAGUCAGGUGUGAAACCUCCAGGCUCAACCUGGAGACGCCACUUGAUACUGCUAUGGCUUGAGUUUGGUAGGGGUAAGCGGAAUUCCUGGUGUAGCGGUGAAAUGCGCAGAUAUCAGGAGGAACACCGAUGGCGAAGGCAGCUUACUGGGCCAAAACUGACGCUGAGGAGCGAAAGCGUGGGGAGCGAACAGGAUUAGAUACCCUGGUAGUCCACGCCGUAAACGUUGGGUACUAGGUGUGGGAGGUAAUCAACGCCUUCCGUGCCGCAGCUAACGCAUUAAGCGCCCCGCCUGGGGAGUACGGA